AGAAAAUAGUAUAAUGGAAAUACGGAGGGUUUUGAUCUCUCAGCUGUAGGUUCAAAUCCUGUUUUUUUAG
rnacentral:tRNA from 1 species